rnacentral:rRNA from 2 species
UGGGGAAUAUUGCGCAAUGGGGGAAACCCUGACGCAGCAACGCCGCGUGAAGGAUGAAGGUUUUCGGAUUGUAAACUUCUUUGAUGAGGGACGAACACAAUGACGGUACCUCAAAAACAAGCCACGGCUAACUACGUGCCAGCAGCCGCGGUAAUACGUAGGUGGCGAGCGUUGUCCGGAAUUACUGGGUGUAAAGGGCGUGUAGGCGGGGAAGUAAGUCAGAUGUGAAAUACCGGGGCGUAACUCCGGGGCUGCAUCUGAAACUGUUUUUCUUGAGUGUCGGAGAGGGAAGCGGAAUUCCUAGUGUAGCGGUGAAAUGCGUAGAUAUUAGGAGGAACACCAGUGGCGAAGGCGGCUUUCCGGACAGUAACUGACGCUGAGGCGCGAAAGCGUGGGGAGCAAACAGG